UACGUAGGGUGCAAGCGUUAAUCGGAAUUACUGGGCGUAAAGCGUGCGCAGGCGGUUGUGCAAGACAGGUGUGAAAUCCCCGGGCUUAACCUGGGAACUGCACUUGUGACUGCACGGCUGGAGUACGGCAGAGGGGGAUGGAAUUCCGGCGUGUAGCAGUGAAAUGCGUAGAUAUGCGGAGGAACACCGAUGGCGAAGGCAGUCCCCUGGGCCUGUACUGACGCUCAUGCACGAAAGCGUGGGGAGCAAACAGG
rnacentral:rRNA from 1 species